UACGAAGGGGGCUAGCGUUGCUCGGAAUCACUGGGCGUAAAGCGCACGUAGGCGGCUUUCUAAGUCAGGGGUGAAAUCCUGGAGCUCAACUCCAGAACUGCCCUUGAUACUGGAGAGCUUGAGUUCGGGAGAGGUGAGUGGAACUGCGAGUGUAGAGGUGAAAUUCGUAGAUAUUCGCAAGAACACCAGUGGCGAAGGCGGCUCACUGGCCCGAUACUGACGCUGAGGUGCGAAAGCGUGGGGAGCAAACGGGG
rnacentral:rRNA from 1 species